rnacentral:rRNA from 1 species
GUCUAUGGCCAUACCACUCUGAAUACGCCCAAUCUCAUCUGAUCUUAGAAGCUAAACAGGGUGGGGCCUGGUUAGUACUUGGAUGGCAGAGCAAAGCAUUAUGUGGUGCAUGACU